UACAGAGGGUGCAAGCGUUGUUCGGAAUUAUUGGGCGUAAAGCGCGUGUAGGCGGCUUUGCAAGUCGGGUGUGAAAGCCCCCGGCUCAACCGGGGAACUGCAGGGCAUACUGCGGAGCUUGAGGAAGCUAGAGGCUGGUAGAACGAUAGGUGGAGCGGUGGAAUGCGUAGAUAUCUAUCGGAAUGCCGAAAGUGAAGACAGCCAGCUGGGGCUUUCCUGACGCUGAGGCACGAAAGCGUGGGGAGCAAACCGG
rnacentral:rRNA from 1 species